rnacentral:misc_RNA from 1 species
AACCCUCUCGAUGUCCCUUCGGACGUCGGAUUUGGACGCUUUGCGACGGCCUCGGCCGGUCGCUCGUCUUUAAAUGCAUUAGCUUUGGCCUCUGGAGUCGGUCCAACGGACGGUGUGAUAAUUAAAGCGUCUCGCCGUUUCGGUCCGAUUCUAAUUCGAGGUUGGCUUCCAACAAUGUGUUCUUUGCG